rnacentral:tRNA from 1 species
GCCCAUGGCUCAGUGGCAGAGCAUCAGCUUGGCAUACAGAAGGUCCCAGGUUCAGUCCCUAGCAUCUCCA